UACGAAGGGGGCUAGCGUUGCUCGGAAUCACUGGGCGUAAAGCGCACGUAGGCGGAUUGUUAAGUCAGGGGUGAAAUCCUGGAGCUCAACUCCAGAUCUGCCUUUGAUACUGGCGAUCUUGAGUCCGGGAGAGGUGAGUGGAACUGCGAGUGUAGAGGUGAAAUUCGUAGAUAUUCGCAAGAACACCAGUGGCGAAGGCGGCUCACUGGCCCGGUACUGACGCUGAGGUGCGAAAGCGUGGGGAGCAAACAGG
rnacentral:rRNA from 1 species